GAUGAACGCUGGCGGCGUGCCUAAUACAUGCAAGUCGAGCGAACAGAUGAUGAGCUUGCUCCUCUGACGUUAGCGGCGGACGGGUGAGUAACACGUGGAUAACCUACCUAUAAGACUGGGAUAACUUCGUGAAACCGGUGCUAAUACCGGAUAAUAUAUUGAACCGCAUGGUUCAAUAGUUCCAGACGGUUUUGCUGUCACUUAUAGAUGGAUCCGCGCCGCAUUAGCUAGUUGGUAAGGUAACGGCUUACCAAGGCAACGAUGCGUAGCCGACCUGAGAGGGUGAUCGGCCACACUGGAACUGAGACACGGUCCAGACUCCUACGGGAGGCAGCAGUAGGGAAUCUUCCGAAAUGGGCGAAAGCCUGACGGAGCAACGCCGCGUGAGUGAUGAAGGUCUUCGGAUCGUAAAACUCUGUUAUUAGGGAAGAACAAAUGUGUAAGUAACUAUGCACGUCUUGACGGUACCUAAACAGAAAGCAACGGCUAACUACGUG
rnacentral:rRNA from 1 species